AGCUGCGUGCGGCAUUCGAGAGUGAAUCUUUGAGCACAGGUCGCCCCCGCCUCCUGCUGUCAGCUGCUGUUGGUGCCGGCAAGAGCAAGAUCGACACCGCCUACAACAUCCCGGCCCUCAUGCUAUACUUGGACUUUGCAAGCAUCAUGUCUAUGACCUGCACGGCGCCUGGGAGACCCACACAGGUCAUCACACAGCACUGUUCCCAGAAGUGACGAAACUGGCGAUGACCGAUACCUGAAUGUGGACUUCGCAGUCAACUACUGGGUGCAGCUCGGAGCCCCCAAGGAGAAGCUGAACGUUGGCCUUUCCACCUACUGGAGAACCUUCACCUUGUCCUCCCUCCCAGACCGGUCUGGGGGUUCCAGUCUCGGGGCCAGGAAACG